rnacentral:tRNA from 1 species
GGAGGUAUUGCUCAGUGGUAGAGCAAUGCUUAACAUGCACAAGGUCCUGGGUUCAAUCCCCUGUACCUCCA